GCAAACUUGGUCAUUUAGAGGAAGUAAAAGUCGUAACAAGGUCUCCGUUGGUGAACCAGCGGAGGGAUCAUUAUCGAGUUCUUCUCGUCCAACCCUUGCGAACCUUACCUAUAUGCCUCGGCGGACGCGGGCGGCCCCUCUCCGGGUGCCCAGCCCCGCCCGUCGCAGGACCUUAAACUCUUGUUUAACCUGAUUCUGAAGAACUAGCAAAUAGUUAAAACUUUCAACAACGGAUCUCUUGGUUCUGGCAUCGAUGAAGAACGCAGC
rnacentral:misc_RNA from 1 species